AAUAAGGUGCCUGAACUUAAAGGGCUAUCUUGAUAGGAUAGAUUAUGCAAGAAGUUGCUCUUAUUA
rnacentral:tRNA from 2 species